CAGAGAACAAAAAGCUAGUCAGGGCUGCAAACUGCAGUAUACAAGGAGGCUGUGGCUGUCAGAGGAACGUCCCCUGGAUCUCAGGGAUUAACACAAGAAGAUGCUUGGGGCUACUAACUCGUGAGCAAGCCAUGUAAAGCUGCCUGUGGGAGAAGCAGCUGGUCCUGAGAUUUACGCUUGCAGCACUCAGCGUUUGCCCCUGAUCAUCAUAGUGAAGCAGGCGCUUACAAGAAACUGCAGGCACUUGAAUGGAAAAGGAAAAUUGUUGGGGAUAAAAGUCCCUGAAGCAGCCAGGAAGAAUAAAAUAGCAGCUAAUCUUUUGAGGAGCCUGGAAUUCUAAGAUCAACUGAAAAAUCUGCAGAUAA